ACCCUACAAGAACAGGGACUUAGAAAAGCUUAGACAUUCAUGGGAAUAAGACCUCCAGCUAUUUAUUGGUUGAUUACAAGCUCAGUAUGAUUCAAUUGAUGAUUAGAUAGUAGACAUCACCUGUUACAAUUGGAGCCCUGUGGCCAAGAGGACGCCUGUGAACUAUUUCACCUGAUUAGGCCACGCUGGGAUUUUGUGCUUGGGUAAGAGGUCGUGCUUCCCCAGGACACGGGCAGCAGCCUGGAGAGAGGAGUCUCAGAGUGGCAGAUUUUCCCGAUUCCACAUUUUGGAAGUAUCAAGAGCUGUUUCAUGAGAUAAGCUGGCGAGAGGAAAUAGACUACUCUGGUAGGAAACUAGAGCAGGUGUACUCAAGGUAACAUUCUCCCUACUUCCUGGUCUACUAGUUCAAGAAAAACGUUUGUUUUGCGUGCCACACGGCG
rnacentral:lncRNA from 1 species